rnacentral:tmRNA from 1 species
GCCCUUGCACGGCGCCCUGCUGCCGCCUAUCUUGAUCCUCGUUCGGGGCAACCCGGACUAUGGACAUAAACGCGCAGGUAAUAAGCGGAUCGGACCCGGGGGCGGUACCCGGCGGCUCCACCAUCCAUCCCUCGUUGGGGGCGAAUGGGGCCGAAACAGGAUCGACGAACGUCUAAAGCUGUUUGCUUUGUCUCGGUGAGGUACCACCGUUAUCGGUCCGAAAAGUACAGUUGCCAACGACAACCGUGCUCCGGUGGCUCUGGCUGCGUAAGCAGUUCGAGUUAUCGAAACCUAAGUCCUUGCGCUUAGCCGCGUAAGGCGGGGCCCCCAGGCGCCUGGCAACAGAAGCCUGGGACU